AAAACUUACCUUCAAUCAACCAGUGUGGCGCGAGGAAAGGCAGACCUCAAAUCAAGCAGGGAGGUCUAAUGAAAGACUUACCUUCAAUCAACCAGUGUGGCGCGAGGAAAGGCAGACCUCAAAUCAAGCAGGGAGGUCCGAAGAAAGACGGACCUCCAAUCCACCUGGGAGGUCUGAGAAAAGAUGGACCUCCAAUCCACCAGGGAGGUCCAUCCGACCAACCUCUACUGGUUGCAUGGAGGGCGUUCAUGUUGGCCUUGGCCUGAAGGACAAUCUAGGCCAGGCUCGGCCUUUACGCCAACCCACACCCAGGUGGUACUAACCUAGUGUCUCAUCUUUGAAUAGGAUAAUGUUCAAGAUGUAAUGGUAGCAGUUAAGGAGAGUUCUCGUGAUCCUGAUUUUCAGCCGAUGUGCAUCUUUCAGGUUCCUUCUUUCCUCAGGUUUGAGAAAAGAAGGAACCUACGACUGCAUCUCUGCAAUUGUCACUGACCUGGAUCUCUAAAUGACAUUUUGUGAUUGUGUGACCUCGGGAGGAGAACCAGAGUUCAGGUAAUUGGUCCACUAGGUGGAUCUCAGGAAGGCUCUGACUGAGCUUGGAGGGAGGCUUAGGAAAAAAGCCUCAUCAGGAAAUUGCCAGAUUGACAGACACAUCAACUGUACAGGAGUUGGAUCCACCGAUUUGCUCUGACUCUCUCCCCUGUCUGACUCUUCAAUCUACUAAUAGCAAAACUUUCCAUCAAUGACUGAGAACCACUUGGGUCCAUUUAAGGAGAAGAAGGCGGUGAAGAGGACUCUUGACUAACUCCAGAUUGCUCUAACUCUUGCAGCUGCUUAAGGAAGGCAUAACCUCCCUAUCAUUAGGAUGGAUAGGCCUUGCCCUGUUUUGUCAUGAAAAUGCAUAAUCUGGUGUUUUACUUUAUUAGCCCUGCCAAAGUCAAGGUCACUGUGUGCAAAGACCUCAGGAAUACUGUGGAACCUCUGCCCUACUCUCUUUUCAUCAAUUAGGAAGCUGCUGAAGCUGAAGCUCAAGUUAGUCUCCAGAUUAGUGCUGAAUUUCUGUGUAUUCAAGUUGUUCCUGUGAAAAGACUCUCCGAAAUGCAUCGAUCUUCCCAAAGACAUUUCUAGGGAAAGCUGGCACAUACAAUUUCAUUGGUUAAUACCACUGGGAUCUGAUAAGGUGCCGUAGCAGUAAAUGUUAUGGAAAUGUUCUAUUCCAGAUGAAGACACUGAAUCAAUAAAGUGACAGACAAAUUUGCA